rnacentral:rRNA from 1 species
UACGAAGGGGGCUAGCGUUGCUCGGAAUCACUGGGCGUAAAGCGCACGUAGGCGGAUCUUUAAGUCAGGGGUGAAAUCCUGGAGCUCAACUCCAGAACUGCCUUUGAUACUGGCGAUCUCGAGUCCGGGAGAGGUGAGUGGAACUGCGAGUGUAGAGGUGAAAUUCGUAGAUAUUCGCAAGAACACCAGUGGCGAAGGCGGCUCACUGGCCCGGUACUGACGCUGAGGUGCGAAAGCGUGGGGAGCAAACAGGG